rnacentral:rRNA from 1 species
GACAGAGGGGGCAAGCGUUGCUCGGAAUCACUGGGCGUAAAGGGUGCGUAGGCGGCGCGGUAAGUCGGGUGUGAAAUUUCGAGGCUUAACUUCGAAACUGCAUUCGAUACUGCCGUGCUAGAGGACUGGAGAGGAGACUGGAAUUUACGGUGUAGCGGUGAAAUGCGUAGAUAUCGUAAGGAAGACCAGUGGCGAAGGCGGGUCUCUGGACAGUUCCUGACGCUGAGGCACGAAGGCCAGGGGAGCAAACGGG